GACGAACGCUGGCGGCGUGCUUAACACAUGCAAGUCGAACGGAAAGGCCUGCUUUCCCUUGUGGAUUGCGGGUACUCGAGUGGCGAACGGGUGAGUAACACGUGAGUGAUCUGCCCCCAACUUGGGUAUAAGCCUGGGAAACUGGGUCUAAUUCCCGAUAGGACUGCAGGGUGGUGCCUGUGGUGGAAAACGAUUUUCUAGUGGUUGGGGAUGAGCUCGCGGCCUAUCAGCUUGUUGGUGGGGUAAUGGCCUACCAAGGCGGCGACGGGUAGCCGGCCUGAGAGGGUGGACGGACACAUUGGGACUGAGAGACGGCCCAGACUCCUACGGGAGGCAGCAGUGGGGAAUAUUGCACAAUGGGCGGAAGCCUGAUGCAGCGACGCCGCGUGGGGGAUGACGGCCUUCGGGUUGUAAACUCCUUUCGACCGCGAGGAAGCCACCUGGUUGGAAGGGUGGUGACGGUAGUGGUAGAAGAAGCACCGGCUAACUACAUG
rnacentral:rRNA from 1 species